GCAGAACUACUGCUGAUGAACUUUUUACAAAAUCUAAAUGGUAAAGACUUUCUAGAUAAAUGUCGAAGGUAAAUAUUGUAGACUAUGCAAGCAAUGCCAAGCUCUAAAGAUCCAUACAUGCAAGCCUGUGAUGAACCAUGGACAUUAUCAACAAGUUGAUGGAUGAUUAACUCUGAUGAACAUAAAACUACCAAAGUAGACAAGAAGGAAUGGUGUUGCUACUGGAAACAGUUACAGAAAUCAUAUAUGUAAUGAAUGAACAUAUUAUAUAACAUCACCAAUUCAAUCACUGCAACAUCAGAAAGAUUUCAACAAAAUCUGAUCUAAAUAAAUAGAGGGGAUCACAAUAUUACCAAGGGAUUAUCGAACAAGAGGAUGAGUAAGGCUUUAUUGAGGAGCAGGCUUAUGCACCUUGGACUUCUUGGAUAGCCGAGACUUUCCGGUCAGGCCUAUGGAUGGAUCCUUUUAGAUCUACGGGCCGGCCGUUCACAUGAGCAUAGGGAAUCUAUACUCGAGCGUUCGACUUGGCCCCUGACAGGAUAGGUGAGGAAUCACUCUUGAUCUGAUCUAUUGGGGCCUACAACUUCGCCGAGCCGACUAGCAUCCCUUUCCACUGCGCAUUUUUCAAACAAAGAGACGACUAUAGGAUCGAAUUCGCUUUCCGUGGUGAACUGGUCGUCCCAUACCUUCUUCGUGUCUCAUGUGUGUGGAACCAGGUCUUUUUCCGCCGGUUGUCUGCAUACAUACCUGCGUGUGGAAUUUUGAGAGGUUUGCAAGACAGGCUAAGAAUGGACAGGUGGUUUUGGGGGAAUCUAGAGAGCUGAAUUAGAACGGGGAGAAGCUAUAUCCCCAUCUCGUAGUCCUACCCCUAUGGCACCUAAAGUUAGCUAGGCUCUUUGAUAGAAUAAUGGGGAUAUAUGGAUACAUUUGAAUGAUUUGGGUGUUGCAAACUGGUCACCAAAGCAUCACCAUACCGCUAAGUAUUCAAGCAGCAUUUUUCAGGUACCUAAACUCCUAAAAUUUUAUCUAUAUUUUUUAAG
rnacentral:lncRNA from 1 species